GAGACAAAGCGUGGCUUCUUCGACAAAAUAUCAAGACCAAGCGACCAUGUGAUAAGUUGGACUAUCGAAGAUUGGGACCAUUUAUCAUCCAGAAGCAAAUUAAUCUAGUGGCAUACCGACUGGAGUUACCGACUUCUAUGAAGGUACAUCCAGUCUUUCAUGUUUCUCUAUUGGAACCUUAUCGAGAGUCAUCUUUUUCUGG
rnacentral:lncRNA from 1 species